rnacentral:rRNA from 1 species
GAUGAACGCUGGCGGCGUGCUUAACACAUGCAAGUCGAGCGAGAAGCUAUCUAAUGAACCUUCGGGUGAUUUAGGUAGUGGAAAGCGGCGGACGGGUGAGUAACGCGUGGGUAACCUGCCCUAUGCAGGGGGAUAACACAUUGAAAAGUGUGCUAAUACCGCAUAAGACCACAGAGUCGCAUGACUUGGUGGUAAAAACUCCGGUAGCAUAGGAUGGACCCGCGUCUGAUUAGCUAGUAGGUAAGGUAACGGCUUACCUAGGCGACGAUCAGUAGCCGACCUGAGAGGGUGAUCGGCCACAUUGGGACUGAGACACGGCCCAAACUCCUACGGGAGGCAGCAGUGGGGAAUAUUGCACAAUGGGCGAAAGCCUGAUGCAGCGACGCCGCGUGAACGAUGAAGGCUUUUCGAGUCGUAAA